rnacentral:rRNA from 1 species
UACGGAGGGUGCUAGCGUUAUCCGGAUUCACUGGGUUUAAAGGGUGCGUAGGUGGGCAAGUAAGUCAGUGGUGAAAUCUCCGGGCUUAACCCGGAAACUGCCAUUGAUACUAUUUGUCUUGAAUACUGUGGAGGUCAGCGGAAUAUGUCAUGUAGCGGUGAAAUGCUUAGAUAUGACAUAGAACACCAAUUGCGAAGGCAGCUGGCUACACAAAUAUUGACACUGAGGCACGAAAGCGUGGGGAUCAAACAGG